GAUGAACGCUAGCGGCAGGCUUAACACAUGCAAGUCGAGGGGUAUUGGUUUUCGGACCAAGAGACCGGCGCACGGGUGCGUAACGCGUAUGCAAUCUACCUUUUGCAGAGGGAUAGCCCAGAGAAAUUUGGAUUAAUACCUCAUAGUAUAGUACUUUGGCAUCAAGGAACUAUUAAAGUCACAACGGCAAAAGAUGAGCAUGCGUCCCAUUAGCUAGUUGGUAAGGUAACGGCUUACCAAGGCUACGAUGGUAGGGGUCCUGAGAGGGAGAUCCCCCACACUGGUACUGAGACACGGACCAGACUCCUACGGGAGGCAGCAGUGAGGAAUAUUGGACAAAUGGGCGCAAGCCUGAUCCAGCCAUGCCGCGUGCAGGAAGAAGGUCCUAUGGAUUGUAAACUGCUUUUAUACAGGAAGAAACACUCCCUCGUGAGGGAACUUGAC
rnacentral:rRNA from 1 species